GACGAACGCUGGCGGCGUGCUUAACACAUGCAAGUCGAACGGAAAGGCCCUGCUUUUGUGGGGUGCUCGAGUGGCGAACGGGUGAGUAACACGUGAGUAACCUGCCCUUGACUUUGGGAUAACUUCAGGAAACUGGGGCUAAUACCGGAUAGGAGCUCCUGCUGCAAGGUGGGGGUUGGAAAGUUUCGGCGGUUGGGGAUGGACUCGCGGCUUAUCAGCUUGUUGGUGGGGUAGUGGCUUACCAAGGCUUUGACGGGUAGCCGGCCUGAGAGGGUGACCGGCCACAUUGGGACUGAGAUACGGCCCAGACUCCUACGGGAGGCAGCAGUGGGGAAUAUUGCACAAUGGGCGGAAGCCCGAUGCAGCAACGCCGCGUGCGGGAUGACGGCCUUCGGGUUGUAAACCGCUUUCGCCUGUGACGAAGCGUGAGUGACGGUAAUGGGUAAAGAAGCACCGGCUAACUACGUG
rnacentral:rRNA from 1 species